UCUUUAUCUUUCUUCUAGCCGCCUCCUUGUUCCUCCUUUGAUCUUUAUCGUUUUCUUUAGAUCUCUCUGCUAUGGUACCGAUUUGCGUGUUUUCGGUUGCUGAGCCUUGUAGAUCGGCUCCCGAUCUACGCGUUGGUAUCAUUUUUUGACAGGUCUGAGUUGCUUCGGUUGGUGGAAUCCAUCAUGGCUUGAAGGCGGAUCGUGUGCGUCGAGCUAUGGUGCGGCGAGAUCUGUUUCAGAUCUGAUCCCUCCGAUAGGCUUGCGUGAUUUUCGAGUCUUAUGCCACAGAUUGCGAGAUUCAUAGUUACGGUCGAUGUGUACAGGAGGCUGGAGGGAACGAUGAAUAUGUGCUCGUUUAAACGAAAAUAUGGGUGUAUAAGAUGUUGCGACGAUAUAGCCUUGGCUUUUUGGCAGGGGCUUGAGUCCUGAUUACAUCUUUGUCAUCCGACCUUUGCCAUCGCAGGUGCGCUUGCAUGGCAGGUCACCUCAUCCUUAAUAAAAUUUUCGUUUUGUUUUAGAGGGGAGUUCGCACGGGAGUUGCCCGGGUUCUCCCCUCUCGUGUGUGCGUUGGUGUCUCGUUCCAUCUCUCUCAUUCGUCCCCACGUUCUCUCUUCAAUACCUGCUCCGCAAAUAUGCCCUCACAUCCAUGAAUGUUUGAGACAAGUCCAAACUUGCAUAUAUUGGAACAAGAUCUAAAAUCAGCGGAUCUGAAGUUACAUCGAACCAAUCUUGUUCAUCAUUUCACUCGGAGACAGGUAUUCUUUACAUGUUAUAUUUUAUAUGUUUACUUCAACCAACACCGUGUGAACUGCUCGGGUUUGAUUUUCGCACAAUUUUCUCAUACCAUCUCAGAUCUCAAUUGUAGAUUAAUUGAUGUCGUUAACUGAGCGUAGGCUUAAUGUUGAAGCAUAGCAAGAUAUAAUUGAAUCAUCGAAACAGUGAAGGUUCUUACUGUUGGUUCUGUACAGAUUGUUGCAUGUAGUCAGAAUCGUUGGUGGGAAAUUUUAUUGUGUAGAUGAUCUGAAGCUGAAGCUCAAAGCUCUGUUGCAACGUAAUAUCCAUCAUGUUCUAAGGAUCGUCAAAUGGUAAAUGUUAAAUGAUUAGUAUUAGUAUUAUAAGAACAAUAUUGUUGAAAAACUGACUUGAAAAUCGGAAUUUUUUUAUUAAGCAUUUCUUACUGCCCAUGGUACUGUAAUCGUUAAUAUUUUUCAUCUCUGUAUUUUGCAGUAUGCGUUUCAAAUAUUUUGUUGAUAUUUUUUUAGCAGUAACUAAUAACUAAUUUUUAUGUAUCCUCUGUGUUGAACUUUAGUUAACUAUUUUUAUGCUUGCGGUUGUAGAAUCUUUGUUCUACAUGUAAUUGGGAGUUGUAUCUUAGUAUGGAUUUUCAUUAGCAAAAGGUUUUUAAAGGUGGAUGAAGGGACUGUUGGAAUGUUUACAAAAUCGUCCAUGUUCUACAAAGUUUGGGUUGAAGAGAGUUCUCCUAGCUUUGUGCUCCCGGGGAAAGUCUUUUUAAAUUCAGAAAGCGUCAAUUCUGAUUACACUGUUAGAACCAAGGUUUGAUGUUGGGGAUGAAGGUUUUUUCGCAGCAGGUGGUGAUAUCAUCACCUUAACAUGAGUGAAUCGCAACAUGCUGAAGAGAUGCGGGUAGGAGGCAAGUGGGACGACUUCAUUUUUGCUCACCCACCGCAACCGCGACACUGAACUUUGGCUCUUUGUAAUGGCCAUAUCUCGAAACAUUGCGAGCUUUGGCUGUAGAAGUGGGGCUGAAUGUGUUAGUUGAAAACUGCUAGAGGUGGUGGUUUCUCGACUUGUGUCAUGUUAACACUUCCAUGAUAGAUAUGAAGUAGGCGUAUUUUCUGCGCCUGUUGCAUGGUAACACUCUUCUAUUUUAUUCAGUUCUUGUAUUCCCAACGUCGAAAUGCUUAAUCAUCGGUGGUUGGAUAAUCCGUUCUAAUGUUUUGAGUAUGCUGCUAUUUGGUUUGCUUACAAGGAAAAUUCUUUUCGUUU